CCCUUAGAUGUCCUGGGCUGCACGCGCGCUACACUGAUGUGUCCAGUAAGCACCUAACCUCUUCCGAAAGGAACGGGUAACCUUUGCAAAGCACAUCGUGAUGGGGAUAGAUUAUUGCAAUUAUUAGUCUUGAACGAGGAAUUCCUAGUAAGCACAAGUCAUCAGCUUGUGUUGAUUACGUCCCUGCCCUUUGUACACACCGCCCGUCGCUCCUACCGAUUGAAUGUUCCGGUGAGCUCUUCGGACUGCGCGGUCUGCAGUUUCUGCGUUCCGUGCUGAAAGUUGCGCAAACCUUAACAUUUAGAGGAAGGAGAAGUCGUAACA
rnacentral:rRNA from 1 species